CCGUCUGCAGAGUGUGAGCAGGAGACACUCCUCUCCCUCCCAGUGUCGCCCUUCUGCCAAAGGAAUGUUUCGUGAUGUCCUUACAAAUCAUCUAUUACUUGUGUGUUGCUAAUUUUGUGCAAAACUGAAAAAAGGAGGUUAAGAGAGGAAAAAACCAGGUUGGAGGUCAGACGGAAACUUUGAAACCAGCAGCU
rnacentral:lncRNA from 1 species